rnacentral:lncRNA from 1 species
ACCAGUACUUAGCCUCUUCAAAGGAGGAUCCUCCUGCAAAAAUAGAUGAGUUUAGUCUUUUAUACCUCUCAAUAUAGUCUGGAUCCAUCAUGGGAGGAACUGGGUCCUAUGGGAAAGGGACUGAAUUGUACUGGAGAUGGACUAGAUGACCCUGUGGUGGUACUAGAUAAUACGGUGGAGGCACUGGGUUGUACUGUGGUGGUACCGGAUAAUGCAGUUUGGGAACCGGGCUAUAUUAUGGUGGUGUCAAGUGGUACUAUGGCUUAAAUACUGGAUCAUACUAUAGUGGUACUGGAUGGUAUUGUGGAGGAGCAGGGUCGUACCAGGGUGGCUCAAGACUCUCUUGCUGCAAGGGUGGC